AGCUGUGGACUUUUAAGAAGAGAGAAUGCCGGAAUGAGUAGCGAGAUGGAGGUGGGAAUCCUCCAGGCCGAAUAUCUAAGGUUUCCAGGGUAAAGCUGAUCUGCCCUGGGUAAGUCGGGGCCUAAGGCAAGGCUGAGAAGCGUAGCUGAUGGACAACAGGUUUAGAUUCCUGUACCACAUGGUAUCAGAACUGUGGGGACGCAGAGGGAUAAGAUGACCGGGGAACAGAACCCCGGGCAAGCGUAGGAGGUGUCAGGCAGGCAAAUCCGCCUGACAAGCCAAAGACGUGACGCGGACCGAACUAAAGUAGGGAAGCAUCCGAUUCCAGCUGCCGAGAAAAGCCGCUAUUGUGUAUCAUGUGCCCGUACCGUAAACCGACACAGGUGGAUGAGGAGAGAAUCCUAAGGCCGGCGGGAGAAGCAUUGUUAAGGAACUCGGCAAAAUGACCCCGUAACUUCGGGAUAAGGGGUGCCAGAGAGAUCUGGCCGCAGAGAAUAGGCUCAAGCAACUGUUUAGCAAAAACACAGGUCUAUGCGAAACCGUAAGGUGAUGUAUAUGGGCUGACGCCUGCCCGGUGCUGGAAGGUUAAGAGGAGAGGUUAGAGCAAUCGAAGCUUUGAAUUGAAGCCCCAGUAAACGGCGGCCGUAACUAUAACGGUCCUAAGGUAGCGAAAUUCCUUGUCGGGUAAGUUCCGACCCGCACGAAAGGCGUAAUGAUUUGAGCGCUGUCUCGACAAUGCACCCGGUGAAAUUGAAAUACCAGUGAAGAUGCUGGUUACCUGCGCCAGGACGGAAAGACCCCAUGGAGCUUUACUCCAGCUUGAUACUGGGAUUCGGUAAUGCAUGCACAGGAUAGGUGGGAGGCUACGAGUAUGGAACUCCGGUUUCAUAUGAGCCGCUGUUGGGAUACCACCCUUGCGUUACUGGGUUUCUAACCAUGGUCCAUGAUCUGGAUCGGGGACAAUGUCAGGUGGGGAGUUUGACUGGGGCGGUCGCCUCCGAAAGGGUAUCGGAGGCGCUCAAAGGUUCCCUCAGAAUGGUUGGAAACCAUUCGAAGAGUGCAAAGGCAGAAGGGAGCUUGACUGCGAGACCGACGGGUCGAGCAGGUAGGAAACUAGGACUUAGUGAUCCGGUGGUAUGAAAGUGGGAUUGCCAUCGCUCAACGGAUAAAAGCUACCCUGGGGAUAACAGGCUUAUCACUCCCAAGAGUUCACAUCGACGGAGUGGUUUGGCACCUCGAUGUCGGCUCAUCGCAUCCUGGGGCUGUAGCAGGUCCCAAGGGUUGGGCUGUUCGCCCAUUAAAGCGGUACGCGAGCUGGGUUCAGAACGUCGUGAGACAGUUCGGUCCCUAUCCGGCGCAGGCGGAGGAUAUUUGAGAGGAGCUGUCCUUAGUACGAGAGGACCGGGAUGGACGGACCGCUGGUGUACCGGUUGAGCUGCUAAGCUCAUGGCCGGGUAGCCAAGUCUGGCAGGGAUAAACGCUGAAGGCAUCUAAGCGUGAAGCCCCCCUCAAGAUGAGAUAUCCCAUUCGAAAGAAGUAAGACCCCUUGAAGACGACGAGGUAGAUAGGGCAGAGGUGGAAGUGCAGUAAUGUACGGAGCUGACUGUUACUAAUCGGUCGAGGGCUUAUCCA
rnacentral:rRNA from 1 species